rnacentral:tRNA from 34 species
GGGCGGUUGGCGCAGUGGUAGCGCACUUCCCUGACACGGAAGGGGUCACAAGUUCGAAUCUUGUAUCGCCCAC